rnacentral:rRNA from 1 species
GGCGCUGACCGGGAUAUACAGUCAGAGUACACACGCGGGACUAGACCAGCAACAACAAGGACACCCACCGAGGCGAGCCGGGCAACCCAUUUUCUCUCAAAAGUAGGAAACGCACGACGAUGCGCCCGAACGGACGGGAAGAGAGCGACCUCCACCAGGGAAGAAUAGGAACCAGGGUGCGCAGCCCGCCAAACCCAAAGAAGAAUCCAUAUACAUUUUCAAUGUCGCGCACCCUCUUCGCAAGAACUGGCCCAAGCACCAAAGGAAGACGAGAGGGGACGGAGAGACGGAGGACAGAGCAGGGUGAAGGGGGGCGGACGCGGAGAAGCGGAACGAGAGCAGGCGGUAGGUCGGCGGUAACAGCGAGCAAGAGCAACAAGUAGCCAGUAGUCGCCGAGCGAACAACAGACGAAUGGGGCAGCAGCCGAACAAAGCCGUACCGAGGAGCGUGACGACGACAACGCAAACCAAUCCCCUACGACGUAGAUGAACACGCACAAGAAGAAGGAAGAAAGACUCCAGAAGGAGACACUGCAAACCGACGCACCAACGAACCAAAAGAGCGGGUGGCCAAGCGGUCUAAACACGACACCCAGUCGAGUGCACUGCGGAGAGCGAGGCAGAAGGUCGAACCGUUCUACAGCCCGGUCUCCUACUCGGAAGAGAGGGUUUAGUUACUGUCUCUCUACAAGACCUUACGAUUCCAAGACCACAGGGCGUAGACCGUGAUGGCUCCACCCUGGCUACUUCCACGGUAAUACGUAUGACUGUAACACCACGAACUGUUUCUCCCUUGGGUGUACAUACCGGCCUAGGGAUGACUCGGUCGAUAGGCGGACGUUCUACAGAACGCCCUUCCGUCACAAAUAGAUUACUUCUCCAAGUACACGUUUGGUAGUUUCGGGUGAAUGUCCCGACAACUGUCGGGUAAAUACUACGUCAAGUGAGCGAAAUGAUGACAACUAGGACACCACCUACUACUUCUUCUAAAGGGUAUGACGUGAAUGUCGGAAUACAGGAAGAGCCUAUAGGGUUAUGGUCCGGGUGUGUGAGGAGUGAAAUAGCUACACUAACCGGCUUAAUAACAACAGUGUGUGUAACAACAACAUGUGAGUGUCGUAGUUCGACCAGGAAGUCUAUGGUCCUGAGACCAAGAGGUCCUAGUUUAGCCUUUACUUUAGUCGGAACAAGAGACCCCACGAGCUCGGGUACUCAAGCUCCGUCUUCUCCAGGCACGACGUUCACUUAGGUGUCGACAGUAACGAUAGAAACAUCCUUGUGACGGUUUUCGUAUGGCUCCAUAAUUUCCGGACUCACCAUCGAGACGUACGGCGACCAUGUAACUACUCCUGGACGGUCUCUACUUACGGAAAACACGAUCGGAACGUCUUCCCGAAGGACGGCAGUGACGAGUGUAGGGUCCUCUUGUUCGCUAACAAGGUCGUGGACAAGCGCUUGGAGGGCAACUUGACUCACAAGUCCUCGACGAACGGGAACUGGGUAAACUGUUGAACUUCUUUGUCAAAUAGCAGUUCCAAUGAUAGUGUCCGAACCCGAGACUGUUGGCGACCACCAAGGAGAGUACGGCCUUUACGGUAUUUUGUCGGAUGUGGAGGCCUUCCGUCAUGGCAACGAGUCUGAUACCGACAAGAAGAUAGUAUCGUCUAGGAAGUAUGACGCACACGUGAAAGCCUUCGCUACCGCGUUUACUUCGUCUUAAAUACAAGAAACUAUCCCGACGUUUUGUUCAAUAACCGUUCGGUGAGUACUGAAACUAAGUGGCGUUCAUGGGUCCAAAAUGUUCACGCGAACUAGAACGAGUCUAUCCUCCAAGACUACAUCCAAACGGACAACUUUAAAGGGCGGAACAAUGGGUCUUCAUAUCCGACCAGCAAAGAUAGAGGUUGUUCUCAAAAGUCGGACGUUCGUGGGUCGACAGGAAGGUUCAACCAUCUUAACUACUUUGGAAAUUCGGACUGGAACAUGGGAAACGUAGAUGAUCACGUAGUAGACGGAGACCUCGUAGCAGAAGACGACUCCCGAGUCUGUACUGUCACGGGUAAGGGUGGAGAAAGAGAUAUCCUAGCAGAUGUGAGCAACACGAUGGAGAGCUACUCUACUUGUGAGGAUAUAGACGUAAGUUUCCUUUUCCUGUACGAUAACACAGAUUUUGUGGGUCGGCCAGGGGUACGGGUUUUUCACGAGCGGCGUUCGAAAAAUAACCAGGGGGAUUCAGAUUCCCGUGACUGGAUGGACGGAGGCAAUCGUUGCAAUGACGGGUCCGACCUUUCCAACAGCGUCAAUGGGUUUGACUUCUCUAACGGCGGCGACCUUUACAACAAGUCGGAUGUGGGUACGGUUGACAACCUGUCCUCUGACUUUGGUGUUGACGACUCCUAGGUUUCUAGUAGUAAGGACUGGGGAGAUUCCGGUUCUCCUGUUUGUUGGGAUCGUUCCCACAACCGCAGGGUUUCAAGAAAGUACCUCACCAGCAAGGUACAACAUUAGAUUUAUACAUGUAUGUCCAAAGAAGAUACAAGACGAACGAAUAGUUCAUUUCAGAUGCUACCUGUCUACAGCACGACUUGUCUGGAAGAGUUGACAUGACGUAGUGUCGUCGCCAAACCGGUAGCCCAAACUUCUAGCAGCUGAGUCACGCGAAAACCCGUACGUGACCUAAAUGAAAACACGCCGAAAUAUUCUGUCCCGAAACUGUGGAUAUCUUAACACAGUUUGGUGACAGUACCGUUGAGGAAAUAAAUGCAGGAGCUUGUUUCGUAGUACGCAACAUUUAUAGCGGCAAUCGAGAAGGACAGACUUGAGGAACACUGUUGAUAGGUGACAUUUAUGGCGACCUAGUACGACGAACGAGAUUCAGGAGAACAACAAGAAUACAACACACGAAGAAGAAUACAGAAUAUAAAUGACGAUGGGAACGAUUGUAUUACCGGG